rnacentral:rRNA from 1 species
AUUGAACGCUGGCGGCAGGCCUAACACAUGCAAGUCGAACGGUAACAGGAAGCAGCUUGCUGCUUUGCUGACGAGUGGCGGACGGGUGAGUAAUGUCUGGGAAACUGCCCGAUGGAGGGGGAUAACUACUGGAAACGGUAGCUAAUACCGCAUAACGUCGCAAGACCAAAGAGGGGGACCUUAGGGCCUCUUGCCAUCGGAUGUGCCCAGAUGGGAAUAGCUAGUAGGUGGGGUAACGGCUCACCUAGGCGACGAUCCCUAGCUGGUCUGAGAGGAUGACCAGCCACACUGGAACUGAGACACGGUCCAGACUCCUACGGGAGGCAGCAGUGGGGAAUAUUGCACAAUGGGCGCAAGCCUGAUGCAGCCAUGCCGCGUGUAUGAAGAAGGCCUUCGGGUUGUAAAGUACUUUCAGCGGGGAGGAAGGGAGUAAAGUUAAUACCUUUGCUCAUUGACGUUACCCGCAGAAGAAGCACCGGCUAACUCCGUG